GGUGGGCUACUUCUAGCCCACAGCCUAGUAAGGCACUCCAGGCCAUUUUGGGCAAAGUACAGCCACUUUCCUGUAUCCUGACAUCAUACACGAAUUCAGUGCAACAGAUGGCUAACAUGACACAUAUUUUGAAAUGCCUGCUUUUAACUUGACAAUUUUAAUGUUUUACUUUAUAUUUUUGCAAACCACUUAGAGCUUUGUUUACCACCCAGCGAUAUAUAAAAUUUGCUGAAUGAAUUUUUAAAAGUGAAUAAAUGACACCUGCUUCAGCAGAGAGUUUAUUUAAGUUUCUGGUGAACCAAGAAUUAGCCUCACCUCAAAUAAAAGGCAAUAUGUUUCUACAGUUGCUGUGUGACUUGCUCCCAAUUUUUGCUAAAACAUCUGGUAGUAACUAUAGUUGUAGUUGUGGUAUAGGUAGUGCUUUUUGUGUGUGUAAUGGCAAAGGUGCCCAGUACUCAUAUCUGGAUAAAAGUGCUGUGGGCAGCAAAAUAAGAGGUGAUGAUAGUUGAUAAAAGGCACUAAGUGUACCAGUUACUGCACUAUGAUCUGACUCAGUAGUUACAUUAUUGGGACAGCAUUCAGAGUCUUCCUACUGUACAAGUAUAUUAAGAAGUCUGCAGUAGCUCUUACCCUCAUUGACUUCAUCAUUUUCCUUGUCUACUUGUGCUUUCAGAACAUAACGUUUUAUAAGUCUCUUCAUGAUUUGCUAUUGGAGAAGAACAACAACACCACAACUGUUUAUCAUUUCAUGAUGCUUUGAAUGUCAUAAAGGCCUGGACUUUGAGAAAGACAGUCAAAAGCACAUCCUAUGCCUUAACCUUUUCAGCCUUCUGUGCCAGCUUUUGAUCAGCCGAAUCUAAGGUUUUGCAACUGAAACUGUUCCAUUCUCCACUUAAUAAUAAUACAAAUUGGGCUUGCAACACAAUGUUGCAGCAUACAUAGUGUUUCUGCUUAGAAUUCCAGUCUGAUAGCAUGCCCCUUUUCCAGAACACACCAUUCUAUUCCUCACCCCCUGAUUUUCCAGGCUCCACCACCACUACCAAUAGCCAAGGGUUUGGCAGCCUCUGAGCAUUAUCUGUUCUCACUAAGUUAAAAAAAAAUAAUGUUUUCCUGCUACCCUUAGGGCUCCCCCCCUUAAAAAGCUGUUACACUGCUCCAAAUGUUUAUGUUCUCCCGAGCCUCCUAAUACUUCCCUCUUGUAUAUGGGUGGUUGGUGUGUUGGCCACACACUUGGAGAAUCUGAAAUUUUGAUGGUUCUAAAGGUUUUUCAUAAUGCAGAUAUACAAAAUGCACUUACUCGUGAAUUACGUCAAUUAAUUAAAAUGAACCAUUCAACUGAGUGAAA